GAAACCGAGGCCUGGUGUGUCUGCGCUCUCGGGCGCGGGUUGCAAAGGUGCCUCCGCUUUACGCAGACCCGAGGAGCCGGGGCUCGAAGGCGGAUUGCCCGGGACCAACAUGCGCAGAGCAUGGGAGACCCCGGUCCUUCUCCCAAGCAGCCGGGAGGGGUGGGUCUGGGCUAUUCGUGCCCCGGUCCCGCACCCCCAACGUCCCACCCAUUCCCGUGCAUCCGCUGGCCCUUUGUCCCAGGCUCUGGAAAAGGCACUGAGGCCUUACAAAGGAUGGUCCUUCCAUCGGAGAAGAACCGCCCGUCAUCCUGAAAUUGCCUAAAUACACAAAGCGGAGGGAAACUAACUGGAAGAACUUUGAGCAUAAUCAAACUGAAACAAUAAUACGAAAAUGACAGAGGACAGGCCAAUUUGUUCUAAGAAGUCCUUUCAAAUGAGGGCAGUGAUCUAAGAGGUGGUAUCAGCCCCAAACUUCACAUAAAAUACCCUCUUCUGAAAAAGUUGGGGAAAAGGCAGCACAAGGUGCUAACGAUAUUUUGCCAACAGGAGAGGAGAGAAAAGGAGCAAUAGCAAAUGGGAAUGUCUCCCUGCUCAUGGCAUCACCACACAAUAAUCCACCUUUGUCUAGUAAAAUUCUUGCUUACAAAUAAAAUCAAUACUAUUCACUUUAAACAAACAUAAAGAUAAUGACCUACGUGGAAUUAAACCAGCACUGAGUCUUUAAACACUUUCAUGUUUGUAUUGCACAAAAGUGGUUAAGAAACUGUUCACUAGCUUUUAUGGUAAAUAGCUUACCAAAGUCCUAGGGUGAAAAGAAGUCCUACCCUCGAGAUAUGGAACUGUACCAUUAUCACAGAAGAAUACCGCUCAUGUUACCUUCUUGAAUCCCCUCUCAAUCAUUGCUCUGUCCUCCACCUCCACAAAUUUGUCGUUUCGAGACUGUGCUAUUAAUGGGAGCAUACAGUAUGUAAUGUUUCAAGAUUGAUUUUUUUUUUUUAUUAAGCAUACUGCCCUUGAGGUUCAUCCAGAGUAUUGCCUGUAUCAAUAGUUCAUUCCUUUUUAUUGCUGAGUAAAUUUCUAUUAUAUGGA